GGACAGGUGGCAGAGCGGUUGAUUGCGGCGGUCUUGAAAACCGCUAACCCGCAAGGGUUCGUGGGUUCGAAUCCCACCCUGUCCGCCA
rnacentral:tRNA from 1 species